GGCGGCAUGCCUAAUACAUGCAAGUCGAACGAGAGGAAGGAAAGCUUGCUUUCCUAAAUCUAGUGGCGAACGGGUGAGUAACACGUAGGUAACCUGCCCAUGUGCCCGGGAUAACUUCUGGAAACGGAUGCUAAAACCGGAUAGGUAGCAGACAAGCAUUUGACUGCUAUUAAAGUGGCCAAGGCCAUGAACAUGGAUGGACCUGCGGUGCAUUAGCUAGUUGGUGAGGUAACGGCCCACCAAGGCGACGAUGCAUAGCCGGCCUGAGAGGGCGGACGGCCACAUUGGGACUGAGACACGGCCCAAACUCCUACGGGAGGCAGCAGUAGGGAAUUUUCGUCAAUGGGGGGAACCCUGAACGAGCAAUGCCGCGUGAGUGAGGAAGGUCUUCGGAUCGUAAAGCUCUGUUGUAAGAGAAAAACGGCACUCAUAGGGAAUGAUGAGUGAGUGAUGGUAUCUUACCAGAAAGUCACGGCUAACUACGUGCCAGCAGCCGCGGUAAUACGUAGGUGGCGAGCGUUAUCCGGAAUGAUUGGGCGUAAAGGGUGCGUAGGUGGCAGAUCAAGUCUGGAGUAAAAGGUAUGGGCUCAACCCGUACUUGCUCUGGAAACUGAUCAGCUAGAGAACAGAAGAGGACGGCGGAACUCCAUGUGUAGCGGUAAAAUGCGUAGAUAUAUGGAAGAACACCGGUGGCGAAGGCGGCCGUCUGGUCUGGAUUCUGACACUGAAGCACGAAAGCGUGGGGAGCAAAUAGGAUUAGAUACCCUAGUAGUCCACGCCGUAAACGAUGAGAACUAGGUGUUGGGGGAAUAACUCAGUGCCGCAGUUAACGCAAUAAGUUCUCCGCCUGGGGAGUAUGCACGCAAGUGUGAAACUCAAAGGAAUUGACGGGGGCCCGCACAAGCGGUGGAGUAUGUGGUUUAAUUCGAAGCAACGCGAAGAACCUUACCAGGCCUUGACAUCCCUUGCAGAGGUAUAGAGAUAUAUCCGAGGUUAUCAAGGAGACAGGUGGUGCAUGGUUGUCGUCAGCUCGUGUCGUGAGAUGUUGGGUUAAGUCCCGCAACGAGCGCAACCCUUGUGAUAUGUUACUAACAUUGAGUUGAGGACUCAUAUCAGACUGCCGGUGAUAAACCGGAGGAAGGUGGGGAUGACGUCAAAUCAUCAUGCCCCUUAUGGC
rnacentral:rRNA from 1 species